AUUUAAAAUAAUAGUAAAUAUAAAGAUAUUUUAAGUUUUCUGUUGUUUUUGAGCAAAAAUCUUAAUAUUUCCCUCGCACAUUACUUGUUUUACAACGCCAGUUUGCUUCGCUUGUGGAUGCAGCACUUUACUACAAAGAAACUAAAAAGAAAGACUAAUUCUUUCAGGUAAGAUUCACGAAACUUUUUUAUAUUAAACUUUCUAGACGACUAGCUAGUCUGAGACUCUGAGUCGGUCACUAGACCCUUCAUAUAUUAUGUCAAAAACUCAUCCUCCUAUUAAUAUAUACAGCAAUAUAUUCACAAUAUUGUUAAUGAUUAAAUAUUGUGUACUACAUGAAAUUAAUAUGUUGUUUUCAGUGUCAGCACUGGCCUUUGUGGUUUUAUUGCCAGACAGAGACUGCCAGUUUUUAAUUACUUGUAUAAAUUGUGGUUGUUUACAUGUUCAUAAAGGUUUAAUAUGGUGUGAAAUUUAUAUACUUGCCCAUCAUAAUGCAGAAUUAAUAUAUAUAGAUAGCACAAGACCAGAGAGACUUGAGUAGAGGAGGCCCACCUACAUUUGACAAUGUGCACUAGCUGUUCUGAUGAGCCCUAUAUAAAAGACUAGCUGUCUUUAUUGUUGUACUCUGUCUGUCUAAUGCCAGAUGAUUUUAAGAGGAGACUGUUCAUGCUCACUGCUGCCUCGCAGUGGGUUAAUUUAAUACACUAUCUGCCAAUGAGCAGCCCCUGAGAUAUAUCGGUCAGCCCAUUAAGCUGCAAAAUUAUGUGCCCAAAUGAACCCUAGCUACUUUCUUACUGGGACUGCAGAACAGGGGGGGCAUGCUCCCCCCCCCACACUUUUUUGGUGGAUAAUAAAAAUUACCGGAUAAAGUCUGGACAGCACCUGCCUGUGUGGAUUAGCUCCCAUGCUAUCCUGCCCCCCCCCCCUUUUAAACAGGCUCCAUGGUCCCUGUUUUAUUUUACUCUAUCGGUGAGACUAAAUCCAGAUGUUUUAAUCACCAAGGGAAGAGUCUUAAAAAAUAGAUAACAUUUUACCAUUGUCUGUUCAGAACUAUAUAAAACUAUAUAGUUUACAUAGUAUAUGAUGUCAUAGUUUGGAAGUGGUGAUGUCCAAUUGCUCUGUGAGAAAUUAUGACAAAAUUUGCUAAUAAUAGUUUGACAUAUUUUAGCAGUUAGUUGGGAAUGUAAUUGCAUUGCUGAAUAUGAAAACACAACACUUAAUUUAUAAGCUUGGAUCAAUAGACUAGUAAAAUUGUCUGACAUAAUACAGUAAGGCAAAAAUAAUACAGUGAGGCACAUCAAAACACAUUGCCACUUGAAGGGUUAACAUAUGUGUAUAUCAUAUUUUGUGGUGUAAAGAUGUAUAAUGUAUCAUGAUAAUGUCGUCUUUUUUUUGCAGAAAUGAUCUGUUUAAUAUACAAAAGAGAUGGCACAGGCAUCAACAUGCAGAAGAACAUGCAGAACAAUUACAAAAUGAAGUUAUAAUUACAAUACCAUGCACA